GUGAUUACAGAUAGUUGUAGAUCACCUUAGAAGCAAGAGGUAAUAGAACCAUCAACAUUUGAAUUAUCAGUUUACUUCCAAGCCACUGCUGGAUAUUGCCUCCCUAGGCAUAAUGGAUUCCAGUAAAACAUUGUCUGCAUUGCUUAUAUGUAAUGGAAAUAAAAGUGACCAUAAACAAUUCCCUUUUCCUUUCAGUUAUAGCAAAACCCCCAUAAAAAUGUGAACAUAUAGAAUUACAUUAAAUAAAGAAUAUGAUUCCCAAAUUAUAGAAGAACAUUUUAUUUUAUUAAUUCUAUGGAUUGUUCAUAAACCGAUCUAUUUAAUUCAGCCCAAAUACUUAUUGUAAUAAAUGCUGUAUAUUUAAUAAUAAAAAAUAAUCAGGCUCCUUGUCCUCUCAGAGUUAAAUCACCUAGUAUGGUGGAAAGAACACAAAUAUUUGAAUAGAUCAGAAAAUAUAUGCUAUGACAGGAAUAGUAUAGCAUAGGAUGGAAACCCAGAGCAGCGUACUCUACCAGGACUUUCUUAAGGAAUUAACCUUUUAUUUGAAACCUGAACCAGUGUCCACACAAGAGAAAUGGAGUUUUCAAGGAAAAAGGAAAGGAAUACUAAAGUAUUGAGACAGCAGGAAUAGUAUGUGUGAAGGAAAGAAACUUCACAAUUCUGAAUUGAAUACAGUGCUGCUAAGUGGCUGGAUUAUGAACUCGAGGGUAGUGAAGAGCAGUACUGAGACAUCAGGUCAGAUUUAGUGUGGAGUAUCUUAAUUUUUCUAAAGUACACUCAUUGACCUUAAGUAACAAUUCCUAUUGGAAAUGUUAAAAGCAAUGUUUACCUUGAAUGGUGAAUAGCUGUAAAAACCUCAUAAUACUGUAGUAAGAUUUGCAGUUAUUGGGCUAUAAUGAUUCAAAAAUAAUAUCCAACUUAGCAUUGUAGACUAUCUUCAGCAGCACAGAUUUCAUAAGAGAAAAGAUCUUGUGUCUGUCAUUCACUCAUUAGCAAAGAAUUAGUCUAAGAAUUUUGAUAAAGGACAAGUUGAUGUUUCUUACUAUUGAAGAAGUUUGCUUUCUAAUGACAAGAAAUUCUGGUAACUGUAACCUUUCAUCUCUAACCUAUUUUUAAAUGUUUAGAAAGAUUUUAGAAUUAGAAAUUAAGAAGAAUGAGGUGAUGUGAAACAAAGUCCCCAAGUGAUCAUAUAACAUGACCAAGAAAUCAGUCUUUUUUUUUUUUUUUUAGGGCUGCAGUGGUGGCAUCUAGAAGUUUUUGGGCUAGGGGCUGAGUGAGAGCUGCAGCUGCUGGCCUACACCACAGCCACAGCAAUGCCAGAUCCAAGCCACGUCUGCAACUUACACUGCAGCUCAUGGCAAUGCCAGAUCCUUAACCCACUGAGCAAGGCCGGGGAUCGAACCUGCAUCCUCAUAGAUAGUAGUCAGGUUCUUAAUGCACUGAGUCACAAUCGAAAUUCCUUUUCUUUGUUUUUUAAGUCACUGAGAUUUUAGUUUGUAACUACAAUAUAAUUUAGCUCAUCCUGACCAACAUGAAUUUUUUAGGAAAUAGUUUAAUUAGUUGAGAUUUUCAUAGGUAAUAUUAAUAAAAUUAAAGAAAAAAUGUGCCUCUCUAGGACCACCUACAUAAUUUUCAGGGUCCAGUUGAAAGUGAAAAAUGAGAGCACCUUUAUUAAAAUAUUAAAACUCUCCAGAUGGUAAAGGAAACUCUUAAAACAAGCAUGAGAUCCUAAGCAUGUGGCCCUAUGCAGCUGCCCAGGUCACACAGUGUGAAGUCUGUCUCAUGAAUACCAGAUGUUGACCCUUUGUGUAUAAGAUGUUUGAACUAAAUCAUGUUGUUGAGUGGCGUAGUAUGAGUAUAGGAGUUGGUGAGCCAAGAGACUUAGAAGAGGAGCAAUUCCUAUCCUGACUUUCCUUUCUUCUAAAAAAGAGAACAUUUGAAAGAUGUUUCCUGUCUUCUCAGAACAUAGAUAGUAAUAUUAUCUGCAAAAUUUCUUUUUAUUUUAGGUGAUAUUGGCAUUUGGGGGUUAAAAACUAGAAAGCUAGGAAGAGUCACUGGGGUACAUAAUAGAUGAAAUUCAGUAUUGCAAUCAAGAGCUUCUUUCAGUAGAUGUACAUAUCAGGAAUCUACAUACAGACUCAUGGCCUCUUUUAUUAUAUCAGAUUAUAUAACUUAUUUUGUAUAUUUAAAAAUUUGCAUUAGCAUUUGAACAUCUAUGUGGAAAUAAUAUAUGUAUAUAUAUAGUUUCAGGAUAUGUAUAAGAUAUGCUAUAUAUGUAUAUAGUUUCAGAUUAAAUAGUAUAAGCGAGUUAAGCUGCUGAGCUCUUGAAUACUAUGAAUCCUUUUAAAUAUGUUUUAGAAAAACUUUGUGAAUUACUUGUCAGUCCAAUUAGUAAUGCUGAUUCUUGCUUCUUACAGCACUUGAAUUAGCAUUACCCUAAGCCUUCAUGAGACAAUCACAUUCAGAAAACUUUAUCAAGAGAAAUAUUCACCUCUUCAGUUCACUGAGUAUAUUACUGUAUGUGCUACUUGUAUUUCUUGCAAAGUAAUCUGUUAACUUUCUCCCACAAAGAAGUAAUCAAAUUUACUUUCUAACACCACAGAUUAAUAUCUACCUGAGAAGUACAUUUAUUAAAUAUAAAUUAUUUAAUAAAAACUGUACUAAUAGAGCCUAUGACUAAUUUUGAACUUAAUGUAAAAAAGAUAUAUUUUACAACAAAGAUUUCACCAUCACACUGAAUUUUAUGGUAUUCCUUUAGGUCAUUUGCAAUCUAUACGUUAACUUAUUUUUCAAUAUUUAUUAUUUUAAAAGUUCAAUAUUUCAAUAAUGAUUAAUCAAAUAUUUAUUAAAUGCCUAUCAUACAUUGCAUAUGUAAUGGAAGCAUUAUAGAUUUUAAAAGAAAAAUAAAAAAGAUUUCUGAUCUCAAGAAGUUUAUCUCAUAAUCUGAAAUAUGUUUUUCAUAAGAAAUGAACUGAUUUGCCAUAAAAAGUAGCAGAAUGUUAAUCUUACAAGUUAUAAUUCUGAUUGCAAAUGUUAAGAAUGAGUUUAUCGGAGUGCCUGUCAUGGCUCAGCAGUUAACAAAUCUGAGUAGCAUCCAUGAGGAUGUAGGUUCCAACCCUGGCCUCGCUCAGUGGGUUGAGGAUCCGGCGUUGCUGUGAGCUGUGGUGUGGGUCACAGAUGCGGCUGGAUCCCACGUUGCUAUGGCCCUGGUGUAGGCCGGUGGUUACAGCUCUGAUUAGACCCCUAGCCUGGGAAUCUCCAUAUGCCACGCGUGCAGCCCUAGAAAAG
rnacentral:lncRNA from 1 species